CAGCCGCCGCGGUAAAACAGAGGGUGCGAGCGUUAAUCGGAUUUACUGGGCGUAAAGCGUGCGUAGGCGGCUUCUUAAGUCGGAUGUGAAAUCCCUGAGCUUAACUUAGGAAUUGCAUUCGAUACUGGGAAGCUAGAGUAUGGGAGAGGAUGGUAGAAUUCCAGGUGUAGCGGUGAAAUGCGUAGAGAUCUGGAGGAAUACCGAUGGCGAAGGCAGCCAUCUGGCCUAAUACUGACGCUGAGGUACGAAAGCAUGGGGAGCAAACAGGAUUAGAUACCCCUGUAGUCCCUGUCUCUUAUAA
rnacentral:rRNA from 1 species